GAUCAUGGCUCAGGAUGAACGCUGGCGGCGUGCUUAAUACAUGCAAGUCGAACGAAGCACCUUGGACAGAAUCCUUCGGGAGGAAGACCAUUGUGACUGAGUGGCGGACGGGUGAGUAACGCGUGGGUAACCUGCCUUGUACAGGGGGAUAACAGUUGGAAACGACUGCUAAUACCGCAUAAGCGCACAGUACCGCAAGGUACGGUGUGAAAAACUCCGGUGGUACAAGAUGGACCCGCGUCUGAUUAG
rnacentral:rRNA from 1 species